rnacentral:lncRNA from 1 species
GGGAGGAGGAACAGGGGGUCAGUGUUCACCGGGGACAUUGUUUCUGGGUGAGAUGAUGAAAAAAUUCUGGAAACAGACAAUGGUUAUGGCUGCACGACACUGUGAAUGUAUUUAAUGAAACUGAGUAAUACAUUUAAAAUGGCUAAAAGGGUAAGCUUUAUGUUAUUUCCAUACAUUUAACCACAAUAAGUUAAUGUUUUUUGUUUUGUUUUGUUUUGUUCUUAAUGGUCUUGUCCGGAUUGUUGCAACAGGUUCCUACCUGGUAUCCCAGCUUCCAGCUCACCCUCUCCAACCCCUUUUGAAACGUCCACUAGGGGGCGCUCUCUUUCCACUCCUCUGGGUCUCCAGCAGCCUUCUUCUGCCUCCUCUCCACCACUCUCCAGGUAACCGCCCCCCCUCGCAGCUCCUGGAAAACCCCCUGUUCUCCUAUGCCUCUUGAUGUACGCACGUGCCAUUCCCCUCACCUGAUUCCCUUCUUCUUAGCUAAUUCCCUCCUCCAUGGAGUCUGGCUCGGACUUUCUUCUGAAUUCCUCCAGACGGUAUGAUACCUCCCUCCUCUGCACUCACCAAAGCAGCCCGUGCUCACCCAAAACCAGUCUCUUUACAGUGGCCAUCAAGGUGGUGUGACCUGACUCCUGCCAGCUCCCUCAUUCCUCACUGUCCGCUCCAGUACCAAUGCCAUCAGCAUCAUUAUUAUCAUUAGAAUUAGUAUUAUUAGUUAAUAUUAGUAGUAGUAGGAUUAGUAUUAUUAAACAUGAUAAGCCCCAGGAUCUUUGCACUUGCCCUUUCCUCUGCCUGACACUUGCCCUGAUUCUUCCACAUGGCUAGGUGCUCCCCCUUCAAGUCCCCAGCUCAUGUCACCUCCUCAGAGAAGCCCUCCCUAACCCCCAUUAGGAAAUAAUCCCCCAACCAGUCUUGACUCCCAACACCCUAUUUUAUUUUCUUCAUAGCACUUGGUACUUGGUCUUUCUCUUUUGAGUCUGGCUCCUUGUUUAAUGUCUGUCUUCUCACACUAAAGUAUGAGCUCCAGGGGGAGUGUGGCGGGCGGGGGGGGGGGGGGGGGGGGGCCGGGGGGGCUCCUCGGUUAAGUGUCUGACUUCGGCUCAGGUCAUGAUCUCACAGUUCAUGAGUUCGAGCCCCGCGUCGGGCUCUAUGCUGACAGCUAAGAGCCUGAAGCCUGCCUUGGAUUCUGUGUCUCCCUCUCUAUGCCCCUCCCCUGCUCAUGCUCUGUCUUUCUCUCUCUCAAAAAUGAAUAAACUUAAAAAGGAAUUAAAGUAUGGGCUCUGGGAGGGCAGGAGCCACCUAUGUCUUGUUC